GAUGAACGCUAGCGGGAGGCUUAACACAUGCAAGUCGAGGGGCAGCAUAGGGUAGCAAUACUCUGAUGGCGACCGGCAAACGGGUGAGUAACGCGUAUGCAACCUACCUGUACAGGGGGAUAACCCGGAGAAAUUCGGACUUAAUAUCCCGUAAUAAUAUCCGGAAGGCAUCUUUGGAUAUUUAAAGUUUCGACGGUACGGGAUGGGCAUGCGUAACAUUAGCUGGUUGGUAAGGUAACGGCUUACCAAGGCUAUGAUGUUUAGGGGUCCUGAGAGGGUGGUCCCCCACACUGGUACUGAGACACGGACCAGACUCCUACGGGAGGCAGCAGUGAGGAAUAUUGGUCAAUGGGCGCAAGCCUGAACCAGCCAUCCCGCGUGCAGGAAGACGGCCCUAUGGGUUGUAAACUGCUUUUCCAGGGAGAGAAACUUACGCACGUGUUGCGUGACUGACGGUACCCUGGGAAUAAGCAUCGGCUAACUCCGUG
rnacentral:rRNA from 1 species